AAACACUUGCUGUUCAGAUAUGCUUAGAAGUGCUGGCAGAGCACAGGCUCCGGAGCCUCUUGCUGUACCCUGAGAGCUGAUUCUCCAUGAAAUCCCUCCCAAUAGUGCUGAAACAGACCUUUGCUCACUUUGUGAGGCAGCAUCAGUGCCGCUUGCUAAAAAUGACAACUCUGAAUUGGUCAUGGCUGCUUGGAAUUCCUGAGUCUCACAAAGUCAUCCUAUCUUAACACCAAGUACUUCCCUUGUGUAGGCUGUCCCAGGAAGAUGUGAUGUUUUCCACUACCUGACACUAAGUUGUUAAAUUGGUGAAACAGACCCAACAUAUGGGAGCCCCAAAGGACUGAUGUU